GUGGCCACGAAUGUGUUACUAAAUAUGCCUUUGUAAGGCAUAUGAAAGUUCACCAAAACACCCCCCACAUCAAAUUUAAAUGUGCUUUUCAUGGUUGUAACCGUUCAUUUGGCAAAGUGUUGUCUUUAAAAUGUCAUGUAUAUAGAGAUCACCCAGGUCAGAGGGAGUCAAGAUUAAGUGAAGGAUGUUCUGGCAUAAGGACAUUAACCAGAGCUACCAACUCUCACGGUUUCGCCGUGUGACACACGCUUUUGCAUGUUUUCACGCUCUCACGCCACACAACCAAUUUCUCACGGCAAAAGAAAUUCUGAUUUUGAGCCGAGGCGCGUUGGUUUCUUUUCAAACUCCGCGACGAUAGAUGGCGCUAAGGAGCGCAUCUAUAAACCUGUUCGCUGCAUAGACAUCCUAUUUACCCCAAAGAGUCCCGGAGUCAGCAACAGAAGAAGAUUUUCAAACACACACAACGAGCAGAGACUACGGUGUGUGAAUGCAGGGCUCUCAAGUGUCACGCAUUUCGGUCUUAAGUCAUGCACUCCCGCCACACAUCGUAUUUCUCACGCUGAAAAAACUCUCUGCUAUUUAAUAUUUUAAUGUGCCGCAGCACGCAAACAUGCGCUGGCCGCGCCGCCCUCACCGUGGAGGAAUCAAGCGCUCCCCUGGAGUUCUGCUGUGAGGAUCCACUUAUCAGCCAAUCAAAAAAAAGAAAUGGGCUACACAAUAGCCAAUCAUAAAAAAACGUAUCUGUUGUAUCUGUAAGAUUUAAUCCAGCAACCAAUGAAAAUAAAGCAUCCUGGAUAGAUAUGUCACUCUUGCCUGUCUUCAAAACUUAAGAGCCCUGUUAAUGACAUGUGGUUCAAUUAAGUUCUCACUCUCUUAAACUUUAAAUCGUGAAAUAAUUCGUUGUGUUUGUGCUUGUGAUUUUGUGAGGUGAUGUAAACUCAGCUGUCAUAAGGAGCAGCAGGAGAGCACCUUGUUAACCUCUUGGUAUCCUGCAUGCUCAACACACCAGAGCAUUGUUUGUUAAGGCUGCCCAAAGAGCAUUUAUCACUUUAUUUGCAGGCCUAGGAAAAGGACCCUCUCAAAAAAUUUCCAAACAGCACUUUGAACAAGUAAGAUGUAUUAUAAAGAAUUUAACAUAAAGACAGGACAUUUGUGCAAUAGAAUUAGGCAUGUUUUUGUAAAUGAGAGUAUAGUUAUUAAAAAACAUUUAAAUUCUUUAAGGUAGCAAAGAUGCCUCGUAAAAGACCUUUGCCAGGCCAGAAUGCAGGGUACAACAUGGGGACAACAUGGUUAGAACAUGGGUACAACAUGGGUACAACGCCACAUUAAUUCAAAUUUCCUGAUAUUUGAACCACCAACGUGUGUGGCUGCGUGCGCGGCAAUAUUUUGGUCACCAACGACAAAAUCUCACUCCAAGGUUUUUUGAAAAGUUGGCAGCUCUGCAUUAACGUUGGACGUUUUAUUGUCAUGCCACUUCGAUUUCUGUACUGUCAAGUGUGACAGUUUGUCACGUUUAUUUUCUCACUUGAAGAUCUUGGGAAUAACAGAAGCAUUUCCGGAAAACCAGGGCAGAAUCAUCUCGGAAUACUUCAAGGCCAAUCCCAGCAACGAUGAAGUAAAGAACGUCCUCUCACAAGAAAACGGUAUUACAUUCCCCUAUAUUCUGGAUCUACUGAUGGCACACUUCAAAGAGCAGAGAGAUGCCCUCAUCUUGCAGGCAGAUGUGUCAGACACAGCAGCAACUGUGAAGACAUCCCUUGCCCUCCCCGAUAGCCCUCGGUUGAUCAUUCUAGGUCCAAUGAUUCCUGACCAGCGUUGGAUGGUUAGCAUCGAG